UAUGCACUAUACAUUACUUUUGAGUCGCCAUUUUAUUUUACCCAGACUGACAUGCCUUUAAUCCGAGGGUGUUGGCUGAACCUAGCAUUAAAGUGCAUGAGCCAUGAAAGGGAAGCCUCAAGCCUCAAGAAGUAUCAAGUGGAUUACAUGCAUGGUUGUUCCAAGGACCACUGGAUUCUUAUGGUAUAAUUUCUGACAAGUCACUAGCAAUUUGUACAUUGUACAAAUUUUGUCUCACAGAAUACCGGUGAUUGUAUUCCUUGUACAGCGAGUAUGUGGAUUUUAUACAACCUUGACUUCACAAUCACUCUAGAUUUUACUUCACAAUAAAAACAGUCUGGCCGUCACGUAUAUAUGUAUGUAGUAUCCACCAUCCACUUUGGUAUAUAUUUAUGUAGUAUUCACUACAUACAUGUAUACCAAAAACAAAGACCUAGAUAAAUUGAAGAACUGGGCUUUUGGGCCAUUAUCCUUUCUUUUGUUUCUCUUUUUUGUAUAUUUGU